AGUGGGAUAACUGGAUCAUAUGGUGGUUUCAUUCCGUGUUUUCUGAGGAAUGUUCAUACUUUUUUCUAGAGUGGUUACAACAAUUUGCAGUCCCACCAGCAAU
rnacentral:pre_miRNA from 1 species